UGGGGAAUAUUGCACAAUGGGGGGAACCCUGAUGCAGCCAUGCCGCGUGUGUGAAGAAGGCCUUCGGGUUGUAAAGCACUUUCAGGUGUGAGGAAAGUUAAACAGUUAAUACCUGUUUGAUGUGACGUUAACACCAGAAGAAGCACCGGCUAACUCCGUGCCAGCAGCCGCGGUAAUACGGAGGGUGCGAGCGUUAAUCGGAAUUACUGGGCGUAAAGCGCACGCAGGCGGUUGUAUAAGCUAGAAGUGAAAGCCCCGCGCUUAACGUGGGAAGGCCUUUUAGAACUGUACGACUGGAGUCUUGGAGAGGGGAGUGGAAUUCCACGUGUAGCGGUGAAAUGCGUAGAUAUGUGGAGGAACAUCAGUGGCGAAGGCGACUCCCUGGCCAAAGACUGACGCUCAUGUGCGAAAGUGUGGGUAGCGAACAGGAUUAGAUACCCCCGUAGUCC
rnacentral:rRNA from 1 species